rnacentral:pre_miRNA from 1 species
UGGAAGACUAGUGAUUUUGUUGUUCUGAUAUCCAUUGACAACAAGUCACAGCCGGCCUCA